UACGUAGGGUGCGAGCGUUAAUCGGAAUUACUGGGCGUAAAGCGUGCGCAGGCGGUGAUGUAAGACCGAUGUGAAAUCCCCGGGCUUAACCUGGGAACUGCAUUGGUGACUGCAUCGCUAGAGUAUGGCAGAGGGGGGUGGAAUUCCACGUGUAGCAGUGAAAUGCGUAGAGAUGUGGAGGAACACCGAUGGCGAAGGCAGCCCCCUGGGCCAAUACUGACGCUCAUGCACGAAAGCGUGGGGAGCAAACAGG
rnacentral:rRNA from 1 species